rnacentral:rRNA from 2 species
CUGGUGUCAGCCGCCGCGGUAAUACCAGCACCUCGAGUGGUCAGGACGUUUAUUGGGCCUAAAGCAUCCGUAGCCGGCUCUGCAAGUCUUCGGUUAAAUCCACCUGCUCAACAGGUGGGCUGCUGGAGAUACUACAGAGCUAGGGAGUGGGAGAGGCAGACGGUAUUCAGUGGGUAGGGGUAAAAUCCUCUGAUCCAUUGAGGACCACCAGUGGCGAAGGCGGUCUGCCAGAACACGUUCGACGGUGAGGGAUGAAAGCUGGGGGAGCAAACCGGAUUAGAUACCCGGGUAGUCCCAGCUGUAAACGAUGCAAACUCGGUGAUGCAUUGGCUUAUGGCCAAUGCAGUGCCGCAGGGAAGCCGUUAAGUUUGCCGCCUGGGAAGUACGGACGCAAGUCUGAAACUUAAAGGAAUUGGCGGGGGAGCACCACAAGGGGUGAAGCCUGCGGUUCAAUUGGAGUCAACGCCAGGAAUCUUACCCGGGGAGACAGCAGAAUGAAGGUCAAGCUGAAGACUUUACCAGACAAGCU